rnacentral:rRNA from 1 species
UACAGAGGGGGCAAGCGUUAUUCGGAAUUAUUGGGCGUAAAGGGCGCGUGAGGCGGCCUGGCAAGUGGAUGGUGAAAUCCCUCGGCUUAACCGAGGAACUGCCAUCCAGACUGCUUGGCUUGAGACCGGGAGAGGUGAGUGGAAUUCCCAGUGUAGCGGUGAAAUGCGUAGAUAUUGGGAGGAACACCAGUGGCGAAGGCGGCUCACUGGACCGGUACUGACGCUGAGGCGCGAAAGCGUGGGGAGCAAACGGGG